GAAGGUAGCGUAAUCACUUGUUCUUUAAAUGAGGACUAGUAUGAAUGGCACCACGAGGGUUAAACUGUCUCCUUUUUUUGAUCAGUGAAACUAAUCUCCCCGUGAAAAAGCGGGGAUACUUAUAUAAGACGAGAAGACCCUAUGGAGCUUUAAACAAACUAACAUCCGCUACCACUUAAUUACUUUCAGAAUUACAAUAAAAAACAUAGCAAUUUGAUUAUAAGUUUUCGAUUGGGGUGAUCACGGAGUAAAAAACAACCUCCACGACGAACGGACUAAACUCCUUAACAAAAAGCCACAGCUUUAUGCAUUAAUAUAUUAACGCCUUUGACCCAUUAUUUGAUCAACGAACCAAGUUACCCUAGGGAUAACAGCGCAAUCUACUUCGAGAGCCCCUAUCGACAAGUGGGUUUACGACCUCGAUGUUGGAUCAGGGUAUCC
rnacentral:rRNA from 1 species